UUUCCGUGCCAAGUUUUGGUCUGAGCUGACGAGGAAGAACAAGUCUGUAUCACAGCCUUAUUCACACGGCUUCAACAUGCCAGACAAGGGCGAAGAAGCAAAAGGUGGAGAUUUUGAUCCAGAAAAUGCCGGACAAAUCCGGACAACUGCCGACCAAACGACUAGAAUCGGUGGUAAGACCGGUGUCGUGUCCGCCUGGCCCUUCCCCUAAGUGAUGUGGAUCCGAUGAUAGAGGGGCAACUGUUUCGACUUAAUGACCCGAAACUACGCUGCUCAGAGGCGGACGAUUGCCUGGAGCUUGUGCCGUAGCCAUCAAAACCGCCAAGCAGGGUGAAUGAGAGCUUAUCGA